UUGCGUUGAUCAAGGGAUGAUCCAUCCACAGUCAGCAUUUCAGAUGAAAUGACAAAGUCAUCUUUUGGAAAUAUCUGGAAAGGCCUCAACACUGACGGCACCAACAAAGAUCAAAGCUCCAAAAGCUCCCUCUCCUAAUGUCUCAGAUGCUGAUUUCCAAAGCUCAGCGGUUGAAGUUGCCAUUGAACAUAAAAGAGGUGAUGAAGAGAAGGAGGCAGAUUUGGAUAGAGAGACGAGUUUGUGAGUUCACGUAUUUCGAAACACUGUAUCGUGCCACACUGCAAGCACCACUAAAUGCUUCUGUUCUGUAGGUCUGUGUGUGCCAGUCUGUGCUAAGGCACCUUGUUAUAUUUACAUGUUUUUUAUGUGUGUGUGUGGAGAUGUUUGUUUCGAGCAUCUGAAUAUGUCAGAAUUUGCUGCCCACAAGGAGGAUUGUUGGGUUGUGUGUUUGUCCAGUCCAACUGUAGUCAAACUGUAGUUUCACCUAUAGAAAUUAAACAAAAUUAAGGUUACUUUUGUUUUCAACCAGGUAGAGUGUAUUUUGUAUGUUUUAUAUUUUUUUGAAAGUAGAUUCUAUUGAAAU